GGGGGCGUGGCGGAAUGGCAGACGCAGGGGAUUUAAAAUCCCCUGGCCGCGAGGCCGUGCGGGUUCGAAUCCCGCCGCCCCCACCA
rnacentral:tRNA from 1 species